rnacentral:rRNA from 1 species
CCUACGGGGGGCUGCAGUGGGGAAUAUUGGACAAUGGGCGAAAGCCUGAUCCAGCCAUGCCGCGUGUGUGAAGAAGGCCUUCGGGUUGUAAAGCACUUUCAGUGGGGAAGAAAGCCUUGGGGCUAAUACCCUCGAGGAAGGACAUCACCCACAGAAGAAGCACCGGCUAACUCCGUGCCAGCAGCCGCGGUAAUACGGAGGGUGCGAGCGUUAAUCGGAAUUACUGGGCGUAAAGCGCGCGUAGGCGGUCUGAUAAGCCGGAUGUGAAAGCCCCGGGCUCAACCUGGGAACGGCAUCCGGAACUGUCAGGCUAGAGUGCAGGAGAGGAAGGUAGAAUUCCCGGUGUAGCGGUGAAAUGCGUAGAGAUCGGGAGGAAUACCAGUGGCGAAGGCGGCCUUCUGGACUGACACUGACGCUGAGGUGCGAAAGCGUGGGUAGCAAACAGGAUUAGAUACCCCAGUAGUC